rnacentral:ncRNA from 1 species
UCCCUGGUUGAUCCUGCCAGUAGUCAUAUGCUUGUCUCAAAGAUUAAGCCAUGCAUGUCUCAGUGCAAGCCGCAUUAAGGUGAAACCGCGAAAGGCUCAUUAAAUCAGUUGUGGUUCCUUAGAUCGUACCCAAGUUACUUGGAUAACUGUGGUAAUUCUAGAGCUAAUACAUGCCGACAGAGUUCCGACCGUCGCGGCGCCCUCGGGCGUCGCUCGCGGGAGGAACGCUUUUAUUAGAUCAAAACCGGCCCGUCGCGGCGCGCUUCGUGCGCGUCCCGAUCGCGGCCCGCGCAAAGACCUGGUGACUCUGAAUAACUUCGAGCUGAUCGCACGGUCUCCGUACCGGCGACGCAUCUUUCAAAUGUCUGCCUUAUCAACUGUCGAUGGUAGGUUCCAUGCCUACCAUGGUGGUAACGGGUAACGGGGAAUCAGGGUUCGAUUCCGGAGAGGGAGCCUGAGAAACGGCUACCACAUCCAAGGAAGGCAGCAGGCGCGCAAAUUACCCACUCCCGGAACGGGGAGGUAGUGACGAAAAAUAACGAUACGGGACUCAUCCGAGGCCCCGUAAUCGGAAUGAGAACACUUUAAAACCUUUAAACGAGGAUCAAUUGGAGGGCAAGUCUG